AUUGAACGCUGGCGGCAUGCCUAACACAUGCAAGUCGAACGGAGCGUCGGACGGGUGAGUAAUGCCUAGGAAUCUGCCUGGUAGUGGGGGAUAACGUCCGGAAACGGGCGCUAAUACCGCAUACUAUCAGAUGAGCCUAGGUCGGCUUCGCUAGUUGGUGGGGUAAAGGCCUACCAAGGCGACGAUCCGUACCUGGUCUGAGAGGAUGACAAGCCACAUUGGAAAUGAGAACCGGCCCAGACUCUUACGGGAGGCAGCAGUGGGGAAGAUUGGAAAAUGGGGGAAAGCCUGAUCCAGCCAUGCGGCGUGUGUGAAGAAGGUCUUCGGAUUGUAAAGCACUUUAAGUUGGGAGGCGUUACCAACAGAAUAAGCACCGGCUAACUUCGUGCCAGCCGCCGCGGUAAUAC
rnacentral:rRNA from 1 species